GAUGAACAGAUUGAAUUUGGGCUUUUUAUUCACAUAUAAGCAUUCAUCAACUCGGAAGCUCAAACAUGUUUGCUUGAUGUGCGAGAACCAAUGAGGUUCAUUCUCGUGUUACGCAGCACGUUUGAACUUCCUUAAGAACCAAUGAGGUUCAUUCUCGUGUUACGCAGCACGUUUGAGCUUCAGCGAGAACCAAUGAGGUUCUUUCUCGUGUUACGCAGCACGUUUGAGCUUCAGCAAGAACCAAUGAGGUUCAUUCUCGUGUUACGCAGCACGUUUGAGCUUCAGCGAGAACCAAUGAGGUUCAUUCUCGUGUUACGCAGCACGUUUGAACUUCAGCAAGAACCAAUGAGGUUCAUGCUCGUGUUACGCAGCACGUUUGAACUUCAGCAAGAACCAAUGAGGUUCAUUCUCGUGUUACGCAGCACGUUUGAGCUUCAGCAAGAACCAAUGAGGUUCAUUCUCGUGUUACGCAGCACGUUUGAGCUUCAGCAAGAACCAAUGAGGUUCAUUCUGGUGUUACGCAGCACGUUUGAGCUUCAGCAAGAACCAAUGAAGUUCAUUCUCGUGUUACGCAGCACGUUUGAGCUUCUACAAGAACCAAUGAGGUUCAUUCUCAUGUUACGCAGCACGUUUGAGCUUCUACAAGAACCAAUGAGGUUCAUUCUCGUGUUACGCAGCACGUUUGAGCUUCAGCAAGAACCAAUGAGGUUCAUUCUCGUGUUACGCAGCACGUUUGAGCUUCAGCAAGAACCAAUGAGGUUCAUUCUGGUGUUACGCAGCACGUUUGAGCUUCAGCAAGAACCAAUGAAGUUCAUUCUCGUGUUACGCAGCACAUUUGAGCUUCAGCAAGAACCAAUGAAGUUCAUUCUCGUGUUACGCAGCACGUUUGAGCUUCUGCAAGAACCAAUGAGGUUCAUUCUCGUUACGCAGCACGUUUGAGCUUCAGCAAGAACCAAUGAGGUUCAUUCUCGUGUUAGGCAGCACGUUUGAGCUUCAGCAAGAACCAAUGAGGUUCAUGCUCGUGUUACGCAGCACGUUUGAGCUUCAGCAAGAACCAAUGAGGUUCAUGCUCGUGUUACACAGCACGUUUGAGCUUCAGCGAGAACCAAUGAGGUUCAUUCUCGUUACGCAGCACGUUUGAGCUUCAGCAAGAACCAAUGAGGUUCAUUCUGGUGUUACACAGCACGUUUGAGCUUCAGCAAGAACCAAUGAGGUUCAUUCUGGUGUUACACAGCACGUUUGAGCUUCAGCAAGAACCAAUGAGGUUCAUUCUCGUGUUACGCAGCACGUUUGAGCUUCAGCAAGAACCAAUGAGGUUCAUGCUCGUGUUACGCAGCACGUUUGAGCUUCAGCAAGAACCAAUGAGGUUCAUUCUCGUGUUACGCAGCACGUUUGAGCUUCAGCAAGAACCAAUGAGGUUCAUUCUGGUGUUACGCAGCACGUUUGAGCUUCAGCAAGAACCAAUGAGGUUCAUUCUCGUGUUACGCAGCACGUUUGAGCUUCAGCAAGAACCAAUGAGGUUCAUGCUCGUGUUACACAGCACGUUUGAGCUUCAGCGAGAACCAAUGAGGUUCAUUCUCGUUACGCAGCACGUUUGAGCUUCAGCAAGAACCAAUGAGGUUCAUUCUGGUGUUACACAGCACGUUUGAGCUUCAGCAAGAACCAAUGAGGUUCAUUCUGGUGUUACACAGCACGUUUGAGCUUCAGCAAGAACCAAUGAGGUUCAUUCUCGUGUUACGCAGCACGUUUGAGCUUCAGCAAGAACCAAUGAGGUUCAUGCUCGUGUUACGCAGCACGUUUGAGCUUCAGCAAGAACCAAUGAGGUUCAUUCUCGUGUUACGCAGCACGUUUGAGCUUCAGCAAGAACCAAUGAGGUUCAUUCUGGUGUUACGCAGCACGUUUGAGCUUCAGCAAGAACCAAUGAAGUUCAUUCUCGUGUUACGCAGCACGUUUGAGCUUCUGCAAGAACCAAUGAGGUUCAUUCUCGUUACGCAGCACGUUUGAGCUUCAGCAAGAACCAAUGAGGUUCAUUCUCGUGUUACGCAGCACGUUUGAGCUUCAGCAAGAACCAAUGAGGUUCAUGCUCGUGUUACACAGCACGUUUGAGCUUCAGCGAGAACCAAUGAGGUUCAUUCUCGUUACGCAGCACGUUUGAGCUUCAGCAAGAACCAAUGAGGUUCAUUCUGGUGUUACACAGCACGUUUGAGCUUCAGCAAGAACCAAUGAGGUUCAUUCUGGUGUUACGCAGCACGUUUGAGCUUCAGCAAGAACCAAUGAAGUUCAUUCUCGUGUUACGCAGCACAUUUGAGCUUCAGCAAGAACCAAUGAAGUUCAUUCUCGUGUUACGCAGCACGUUUGAGCUUCUGCAAGAACCAAUGAGGUUCAUUCUCGUUACGCAGCACGUUUGAGCUUCAGCAAGAACCAAUGAGGUUCAUUCUCGUGUUACGCAGCACGUUUGAGCUUCAGCAAGAACCAAUGAGGUUCAUGCUCGUGUUACGCAGCACGUUUGAGCUUCAGCAAGAACCAAUGAGGUUCAUGCUUGUGUUACACAGCACGUUUGAGCUUCAGCGAGAACCAAUGAGGUUCAUUCUCGUUACGCAGCACGUUUGAGCUUCAGCAAGAACCAAUGAGGUUCAUUCUGGUGUUACACAGCACGUUUGAGCUUCAGCAAGAACCAAUGAGGUUCAUUCUGGUGUUACGCAGCACGUUUGAGCUUCAGCAAGAACCAAUGAGGUUCAUUCUGGUGUUACGCAGCACGUUUGAGCUUCAGCAAGAACCAAUGAGGUUCAUUCUGGUGUUACGCAGCACGUUUGAGCUUCAGCAAGAACCAAUGAGGUUCAUUCUCGUGUUACGCAGCACGUUUGAGCUUCAGCAAGAACCAAUGAGGUUCAUGCUCGUGUUACGCAGCACGUUUGAGCUUCAGCAAGAACCAAUGAGGUUCAUGCUCGUGUUACACAGCACGUUUGAGCUUCAGCGAGAACCAAUGAGGUUCAUUCUCGUUACGCAGCACGUUUGAGCUUCAGCAAGAACCAAUGAGGUUCAUUCUGGUGUUACACAGCACGUUUGAGCUUCAGCAAGAACCAAUGAGGUUCAUUCUGGUGUUACGCAGCACGUUUGAGCUUCAGCAAGAACCAAUGAGGUUCAUUCUGGUGUUACGCAGCACGUUUGAGCUUCAGCAAGAACCAAUGAGGUUCAUUCUGGUGUUACGCAGCACGUUUGAGCUUCAGCAAGAACCAAUGAGGUUCAUGCUCGUGUUACGCAGCACGUUUGAGCUUCAGCAAGAACCAAUGAGGUUCAUUCUCGUGUUACGCAGCACGUUUGAGCUUCAGCAAGAACCAAUGAGGUUCAUUCUGGUGUUACGCAGCACGUUUGAGCUUCAGCAAGAACCAAUGAGGUUCAUUCUGGUGUUACGCAGCACGUUUGAGCUUCAGCAAGAACCAAUGAGGUUCAUUCUCGUGUUACGCAGCACGUUUGAGCUUCCUUAAGAACCAAUGAGGUUCAUUCUCGUGUUACGCAGCACGUUUGAGCUUCUGCAAAAACCAAUGAGGUUCAUUCUCGUGUUACGCAGCACGUUUGAGCUUCUGC